rnacentral:rRNA from 1 species
AAAGUUUGCGGGUUCCCAGGUAUGCUUAGCUCAAUAGAUUGCAUGUAUUGGAGUUGGAAGAACUGUCCUAAGGCAUGGCAUGGCCAAUUCCACGGCCAAAAAAGGGAUUCCACUAUAAUCCUUGAAGCAGUGGUCGAUCAAGAGACUUGGAUUUGGCAUGUUUUUUUUGGAAUGCCUGGAUCUUUGAAUGAUAUCAAUGUUGUUAAUCGGUCACCACUCAUGAAUAAGAUUACAAAUGGUGAACUGUCAUCGGUGCAGUUUGUAGCAAAUGGCCAUACAUACAACUAUGGCUACUAUCUUGCGGAUGGCAUCUACCCAAAGUGGCAAACAUUUGUG